rnacentral:rRNA from 1 species
CAGAGAGGGUGAGAAUCCCGUCUGGGAUGGGGUGUCCGCGCCCGUCUGAAGCUCCUUCGACGAGUCGAGUUGUUUGGGAAUGCAGCUCUAAAUGGGUGGUAAAUUUCAUCUAAAGCUAAAUACUGGCCGGAGACCGAUAGCGCACAACUACAGUGAUCGAAAGAUGAAAAGCACUUUGAAAAGAGAGUUAAAAAGCACGUGAAAUUGUUGAAAGGGAAGCGCUUGCGACCAGACUCGCCUCCAGGGUUCAGCCGGCAUUCGUGCCGGUGUACUUCCCUGGGGGCGGGCCAGCGUCGGUUUGGGCGGCCGGUCAAAGGCUCCCGGAAUGUAGUGCCCUCCGGGGCACCUUAUAGCCGGGAGUGCAAUGCGGCCAGCCUGGACCGAGGAACGCGCUUCGGCACGGACGCUGGCAUA